UCCAAGGUAAAGUAUUACUUUAUCAACUUGUGAUUUACUUGUUAACUUGUAUAUUAUCAUAAACAACUUAUAUUUACUUUAUAUUAAACCGUUUGUGUGAACAUUUAUUUGCUGGAGCAUUUGCACUGCACAUUUCACUAUUAAAGAGGAGUAUGAAUAUUUCUUAUUUAACAAAAAAUAUCAACGUUAAGUAAAUAUCUUUUAACAUAAAAACACGAAGUAUAGAUAAAUUGUAGCAUACGUGUAAGUUGAUAUUAAGUUAACUGUCUGUGUUUCUACCUCAGGUAAACUCAGCAGGCUUUCUAAGUUACUUCAGAUGCUGGCGAUAAGUCUUGAGGUCUGAACAAUUUUACAGGACACCACCAUCGCUAAAAGCAAAGCGGCUCAAUUCUUUAUUGGAGGACAGCAGAGAUGUUGCACAGUAAGGGCAAGAACGCAGUACAAAGACACAAGAAAGUAUGUAAAACUAAAAAAAAAACAUUUAUUUUUAAAACCGAGCUGACUUAAACCACUAUAAUUUAUGACACUUGCAUUACAUGUGAACAGCCC